ensembl:lncRNA
UGCAACCUUUCGGCAGUUUUACAAAGAAUGUGUCAUUUCCUCUCUGCUGUAGCAGAAGGCUGAGGCUGGGUGCUGCCCUAGGCCACCGUUUUGUUUCCUCAUUUGUGCUCCCUGGAGAGCUGAUGGGGAGAGCUGGUGCUGCUGCGGGUGUGGGCAGGCCUAGGGUUCCUGGGGAAGCAUAGGCACUUCUUCCUGGGAAAAGUGAGCAGAGCAGAGCAGGGAGGUUGCCAUGCUCUGUGGGAUCUAUGUACAGCCUGCUGCUAAAGCCCAGGCCUGACCGCAGGAGCAAAGGCCUCUGCAGUGCCCUCAUUGUCUCUCUGCAGGCCAUAGGGGCCUCCCCAUCAGCAAAGGCAAUGUUCUGUGGGCUUUUGCACAGCAGGGUCAUAACAGCCCUCUUUCCCUGGCAGAUGCAGAUGGCAGUUCUGCAUUUCAUCAAGGAGCUGCUCAGCACUGAUGCUCAGAGCUGUUCAGCAUGGGAUGUGGCAGGGCACAUCUUCAGCGAGUUCAGCCGGCUCUCUGACAGACUGGUGGUGGAAGGCUUUUUUGCUUUUGAAAUUGAGGAGGAAGGAGCUCUUCGAGCCCUGUGCAUGGACAUCCUGGGCCCACUGGAUGUCUCUGUGAGAGGGAUGACCAAAGUUAGUUGUCCUCCACCCUGCUGCUGCUGUUUCUUGCCUUCAGACAUUUUUCUUUGUCCUUACCCACGCCACAGACAUCUCCCUGCCUAUGCUUUGAAGGGCACACGGCUCAGGAAAAUGCAGGCUGUCCUUUCUGACUAAGCUGAGCAAUGGAAGGGAUGCUGGCAGGGAGAAUUUCCUCAUUCUUCUCUGUAGCUCUCGUGGCCA